CGUCCGUCGGCGUACGAGGACGAACGGCUGGGCGGGCGUGGAGUUAGGCAUGCAAGUCGAACGGUAGGAUACCUUCGGGUAUCUGAGAGUGGCGAACGGGUGAGUAACACGUAGGUGAUCUACCCUCAAGAUUGGGACAACCCAGGGAAACUUGGGCUAAUACCGGAUGAAAGCAGCAGUGAUGUUGUUUGAAAGGUGGCGUAAGCUGCCGUUUGGGGGAUGAGCCUGCGCUCUAUUAGUUAGUUGGCGAGGUAAAGGCCCACCAAGGCGAUGAUAGAUAGGCGGCCUUAACGGGUGGUCGCCCACACUGGGAUUGAGAUACGGCCCAGACUCCUACGGGAGGCAGCAGUCGAGAAUAGUCUACAAUGGCCGAAAGGCUGAUAGUGCGACGCCGCGUGAACGAAGAAGCCCUUCGGGGUGUAAAGUUCUUUUAUAUGUGAGCAGUGCUUUCUAUGUGAACAGCAUGGGGAGAGAGAUAUUAGCAUAUGAAUAAGCAACGGCUAACUCCGUG
rnacentral:rRNA from 1 species